rnacentral:tRNA from 2 species
GCUCACGUAGCUUAAACCAAAGCAUAGCACUGAAGAUGCUAAGAUGAACCCUGAAAAGUUCCGUAAGCA